rnacentral:rRNA from 1 species
GAUGAACGCUGGCGGCGUGCCUAAUACAUGCAAGUCGAGCGAAUUGACAGAGGUGCUUGCACCUCUCGAUUUUAACGGCGGACGGGUGAGUAACACGUGGGUAACCUACCUAUAAGACUGGGAUAACUUCGGGAAACCGGAGCUAAUACCGGAUAAUAUUUAGCUUCGCAUGAAGCAAUAGUGAAAGACGGUUCUGCUGUCACUUAUAGAUGGACCUGCGGUGUAUUAGCUAGUUGGUGAGGUAACGGCUCACCAAGGCAACGAUACAUAGCCGACCUGAGAGGGUGAUCGGCCACACUGGGACUGAGACACGGCCCAGACUCCUACGGGAGGCAGCAGUAGGGAAUCUUCCGCAAUGGACGAAAGUCUGACGGAGCAACGCCGCGUGAGUGAAGAAGGUUUUCGGAUCGUAAAACUCUGUUGUAAGGGAAGAACAAGUACGUUAGUAACUGAACGUACCUUGACGGUACCUUACCAGAAAGCCACGGCUAACUACGUGCCAGCCGCCGCAGUAAAAC